GAUCGUAAGUCAUCUUAUGUUGGACAAAACAAUCAGGACGUUCAUCUGGAUCACAGCUAGCACAAAUUAAAGUAUUGACAAAACCAAAGAUUACCUGGUAGUCUGCAAAUGGAGUGGUCAUUGGAUGAGCCAGACAACACCAUUUUCAUCAGAAAUUUUAGGAUGAGACUAGUCACUUGAUCUCCAUCUUCAUUCAUAGAUGACUGAUGUCGACAUUUUCUCACUUCUGUUUCAUGUCUUUAAUACAACAUGGACUCAACACUUCAGCAUCAGUGGGCGCUUGACUUUUAUAAACAUUUAUUCCUCUGAAAUUCAUAUAAUAUCCUUUAAUAUAGGACA